rnacentral:rRNA from 1 species
AGUGAACGCUGGCGGUAGGCCUAACACAUGCAAGUCGAACGGCAGCACAGUAAGAGCUUGCUCUUACGGGUGGCGAGUGGCGGACGGGUGAGGAAUACAUCGGAAUCUACUUUUUCGUGGGGGAUAACGUAGGGAAACUUACGCUAAUACCGCAUACGACCUACGGGUGAAAGCAUGGGAUCUUCGGACCUUGCGCGAUUGAAUGAGCCGAUGUCGGAUUAGCUAGUUGGCGGGGUAAAUGCCCACCAAGGCGACGAUCCGUAGCUGGUCUGAGAGGAUGAUCAGCCACCUUGGAACUGAGACACGGUCCAGACUCCUACGGGAGGCAGCAGUGGGGAAUAUUGGACAAUGGGCGCAAGCCUGAUCCAGCCAUACCGCGUGGGUGAAGAAGGCCUUCGGGUUGUAAAGACCUUUUGUUGGGAAAGAAAAGCAGCAGGUUAAUACCCCGCUGUUCUGACGGUACCCAAAGAAUAAGCACCGGCUAACUUCGUG